GGCAAACGGUUCUUGUCGAUUUUUCCUGGCGUCAGAACGAAAUCGGAUUCUACGGGUGCAGACGGGUGGGCGCAGGCUGAGUGAUUUAGAGGUCCGAUCGGAAGCGCCGGCGGUCGUUUACUCCACUGGGAUUGAGCCUGGGCCGGGACAGGUUUCGGCUGGAAGCAGCCGCCAUGAGGAGAAGUGAGGUGCUGGCAGAGGAGUCGGUGGUUUGUCUCCAAAAAGCCCUGAACCAUCUUCGAGAAAUCUGGGAAUUGAUAGGCAUUCCGGAGGACCAGAGGCUCCAGAGGACGGAGGUUGUCAAGAAGCACAUCAAGGGCCUGUUGGAAAUGAUGAUUGCCGAAGAAGAGAGUCUAAAGGAGCGGCUCCUGAAAAGCAUUGACUUCUGUCGGAGAGAGCUCAACACUCUGUGCAGGGAGUUAAGCCUCAACUCCUUUGAAGAGAAAGAGGAGAGCACCAUCUUGCAGCUCGAGAAGGAUCUGCGCACUCAGGUGGAGGUGAUGGUCAAGAAAAAGAAGGAGAGAAUGCAGGAACUGAAAGUGCUUCGAGAACGUGACCAGGACCUGUGUGAGAUCCUCUGCACGCCCCCCUACAGCAUCGACCUCACGUCCGUCCCCAGCCUGGAGGAACUGGAGCAGUUUAGGCGGCACCUGGCGACUCUGAACGAGACCAAGGCGAGCAGGCGGGAGGAAUUUGUGAGCACCAAGAGGCAGAUCAUCCUGUGCAUGGAGGAGCUGGAUCACACGCCCGACACGAGCUUCGAGAGAGACGUGGUGUGCGAGGAUGAAGACGCUUUCUGCCUGUCGCUGGAGAACAUCGCCGCCCUGCAGACGCUGCUGCGACAGCUGGAAAUGCGGAAGGCUCAGAACGAAGCUGUGUGUGAGGGGCUGCGCUCGCGCAUCAGAGAACUCUGGGACAGGCUGCAGAUCCCCCUGGAGGAGAGAGAAGCCCUGGCCCCGUGCAUGAGCGGCUCCAAGGCCAAGAUAAAGAAGGCGCUGCAAGAGGAAGUGGACCGGCUGGAGGAGCUCAAGAUUCAAAACAUGAAGAAAGUGGUGGAAGCGAUCCGCACAGAGCUGGCUCUGUACUGGGAAAAGUGCUUCUACAGCCAGGAGCAGAGGAAAGCCUUCACCCCCUACUACGAUGAGGACUACACAGAGAUGCUGCUGCAGCUCCACGACGCCGAGCUCGCGCAGCUGAAGCACUACUACGAGGCUCACAAGGAGCUCUUCGAAGGCGUCCAGAAGUGGGAGGACAGCUGGAGGCUCUUCCUGGAGUUCGAGAGAAAAGCAUCCGACCCAAGCCGAUUUACCAAUAGAGGUGGAAACCUCCUGAAGGAAGAGAAGCAGAGAGCCAAGCUCCAGAAGACUCUGCCUAAGCUGGAGGAGGAGCUGAAGGGCCGGAUCGAGCUGUGGGAACAGGAGCGCGCGCAGGCCUUUGUGGUGAACGGGCAGAAGUUCAUGGAGUAUGUGACAGAGCAGUGGGAGCUGCAUCGCCUGGAGAAGGAGAAGGCCAAGCAGGAGAGGCAGCUCAAGAAGACCCAGCAGACAGAGACCGAGAUGCUGUACGGCAGUACUCCCCGGACGCCCGGCAAGCGGCGAGGCCCGGGCCCCAACACGCCGGGCAAAGUCCGCAAGCUUAAUGCCACCACCGUGUCCUCCGCCACUCCCAAUAGCACCCUGCGCUCUGUCUUCGGCGGGACUGUCUACCAUUCCCCAGCGGCCCGCCUGCCGCCCGCCGGAGGCAAGCCAUCCAGGACUCCCAGCCGUCCGGGGCAGAGGACGGCCCCUCUGGGCAGGCAGGGGCACAACAAAGAGAACAUUGAGUUGAGUGGCAGCAUCCUGACCGGUGGGUGUCCCUACUCGACCCCUCUCCAGCGUAACCUCACCGUUAAUUCUGUUGCCAGCACCUAUUCUGAGUUUGCGAAGGACCCUUCCCUCUUUGACUGCUCAUCUGUGGGGUCUCAGUUGAGGCACUGAAGGGCCGAGAUUUUCCAGACUAGCACUGCAUGCUGAUCCAAGCACCAUACCGGCGAGAACUUUCAAAGGCUUCCAGAUCUGACGUCCCUUCUCGAAUCCUCAAUUCCACCAACAUCCAGUCCUGAGAUGGCCCUCAGCAUCCUCCCCAUUGUGGCCUCCCUGUGCCAACACUGGACCUAAAGACACUGGGAUGGCUUGUGUACAUAUUAUAUAUACAUAUAUAUAUAUAUAUAUACAGAUCUCUCUUUUAUUUCAGGCUUAUUUUCAAUUAAGGAGAUGUUUAAACCAAUGACUGGAUCCAAAGCUCAGGAUCUGAUAAAAGGUUAUCACCAUAGUGGACAAGCCUUUUAUUAGGCCCAGUUGGUCGUAGAGACUUAGUCUUAAUCAGAAAUUCUUCCUCAUUGACUAAAGUAAAACUAGUUUGGUGUAAAUAAAUAGCUCAAAGUGUAAAUUUGAAUAUUCUGAAAGAUUUCUUUCUUUACUCUGUUCCUUGACUUCCUGAAGCGAGUUUAAGAAUGUCAUUUUUGUUUCUUUAGUGGAAUAGAAGAUGACUGACGGAAUCUCUCCUUUGUAUAGGUUAUACAUUUUUACUAUGUAAUUUUGGCUCAUGAACUAAUAAUUAAAAUGUUUUCAGUUUGUGAAUUUUUAAUAAAUUAACCCCUUUAGUUUUGUUCUCUUCCCUCAAAGGGAUAUUCCCUUCACUUUUAUCACUUAGGAAAGCCUACAGAUUAUAAGUACAGUCCAUAUCAUCUGCUUCUUUAUUUAAAAUAGAGAUAGUAUUUAAGGAAAACACGAAUUAUUGCCAAAAAACUGACGGGAAGAUUAGGCGAAAUCCCUGGAAGGAAGAGAACUUGCCCUGUCCCUUCCUCCCACCUUCUCUAUUUAUGUUGUCUUUAGUUAUGUUGACUAUUAUGCCUCCUUCCUCUCCAAAAGAGUUAAGCCCAUGAGCCUUGCGUGUGUGUAUAUGGUCAUGUCCCCUCUAUUCGGCUCUCCUGUCUGAAUGUCCGUCUUCCUCUUGAGUGGUAAGACUGAGGUUGGGGGGAAGUUAUAAAAUUGGUUAUUGAUUUUAAGAGUGAACAUCUGGAAUUCUCUUUCUAGUGCUAAGGAGCCGCUUUGUAUUGUUCACAAUGUUGGAGAAUCAUGCUAAUGUACUUCUAUCACCCUGGGUCUCCCCAAAGCACUAUUUUAUUCUCUGCCUGGGUCUUUCUUCACUUUGUAUGCCUGAGCACAUGCUGCUAUGUUUAUCACAUUAAAUGGUUCUCAAAA